UUAUUACUCCCUCCGUCCGGAAAUACUUGUCAUCAAAAUGGAUAAAAAGGGAUGUAUCUAGAUGUAUUUUAGUUCUAGAUACAUCUCUUUUUAUUCAUUUUGAUGACAAGUAUUUUCGGACGGAGGGAGUACUUC
rnacentral:pre_miRNA from 1 species